GACUGGCAUGCACCUGUGACUUACAUAAACCAGACCUCUACAUAGCCUACAUGUCUUCAUUUUGCUGGAGACUGCCCAUCAUCCUAGCCUGUUAUCUGUGAUAAAGCACACUGAAGUUAGGUUUGGAAUGCAUCCUUAUCAUGAAUGCUCUACACCUCCACCUCCAUCUCCCACAACCUAGGUAACAGCUUGAGACUCACUAAAAGUUGGUAAGUUAUGUAAGGAAUUUCUAAAUUAAGUUUUAUACUACAUGUUAUAUGUGAUAUUAAACCACUGUAUGGUGCAUAUUACUGUAUGUAACUUACUAUGCAUAGAGUACUUACUGACAAAAUUAUUUUUUGUACAUUCCAGAACCCCCUGAAUGAUGUAGGCUAUGGGGCCACAUAAGACUUUGUCCAUCCAGGGUUACAUUGAACGACAACUUUAAACUAAAAAACCAACAUUUUUCACACAACUCCAGGUUGUUACUACAAGUGUCAUCAAGGGAUAACUACAAGUAGAAGCACCAUUUUUGGAUGGAAAAAACCCUUCAGGAAAGUAUACG